CUUCUCUGAAUUGUCAACCAUUCUCGCUGAGCAAGUGGUGAAGAAGCAGGCGUCAUGGGUGAGCAGGCAGCUGCUCUUUUUAAGGAGCUUAGUAAAUACUAGUAAAUCAACUUCACCGGGCUUUGUCGAUGUAGAGCUUUGAUUUGUGCACGCUCUCUCUUUAUCUGCUCUAUUUACUUUUGAUAUGACGUGUUUAAUCUUCAAACUUUGGGUGGCUCUCUGGCAAUCUUCAAAGCUCUCUGGAGACAUUGGCCCUGUAAUUGGAUUUGCUAUCUUUGCACAAGUGCUUUUGAAGAUUCUUGCCAUCUAGCAAAGGACUGCCCUUAUACUGUUUCAGUUUGGACUCUUGUCACAAAUUGGUUGGGCUACAAUUCAGCAGCUCUUCAGCCGCAUCAAAUUUCCAAUUUAUCUCAAAGGUGGGACUUUCUAAGUUCCCUCGCACUGGCAGAGAGGAGACGAAAAAUCCUGACCGCGCUAAUAUCUACUUGGUGGAAUGUGUGGCUUGAAAGAAAUCGAAGGAUUUUCCACCAAAUCUCCAGGGAUGAACAACAGGUGGCUUUCAUCAUAAAGGAAAAUAUAGAUCAAAUUAGACUUUCGAGGCUUCUUUAAAGAGAAGUUCUUCACUGCGGAAGGAGAUAAUCCCAAUUGCUAUUUUUCUGAAACCUCCUGUAUGCAGUAGCUGUUUUUUCUUUCCCUUCCCCUUUUUUGGGAAGGCUCUGUUCUGGACUUUUAUUCCUUCUAAUAUAUCCGGCAAGUUUUUUGCCGUCCGUUUCGAAAAAAAAA